AGUCUCUCGCUGUACACCGAAGGGAUCAUUUUAUUCAUUCAUUAAAAAUUUUAGCAAAUUGAGACGAAAGAAGACUCUAACAACAAUAAGAAAAUAAAUAAAUAAUGGAAUCCGAAGAAAGGAUUAAAAAGCUCUUAGCGCUGCAGAAGAAGAAAAUAUUAAAUAAACAACUAGAACUCUAUAGUUCAAGCUUAAAGGAAGCUUUUCAGACGAGAAAAUUCUCAUCGGCAAAAAUGCAGGGAUUUCUUGCAAUUGUGGAAGAAUUGAAGAGUGAUUAUUUGAAAAAUCGAGAAAUAAUUUUUGCUUCUGUUGCAAAUAAUGCGGAGGAGUUUGAGAAUGAAACCAAAGACGAUGAACGCUUCCAAGUUAGAUUAUUUUCCAUGCAAUUGACUAUAUACAGAGCCUAUGAGGAAUCUUCCACCGUCAACAGCACGGCUAAUUCACCAAAUCAGGAGACUUUUGAAAUGCAACAAACCCUCAAGAAUAUUCUUCAGGCUCAAAAUAAUAUUCUAAAAGAAUUGAAAAGUCUUUCGGAUGUUCGUUUAAUGAGGAAAUAAAAUUAUGGGGAGUUAUGGAGGCAAAUUUUAACUAAACAAUUAUUCUAAUAUAUUUAAUUAAUUUUAAUAUUUUCUUUUUUUUUUUGUUAUUUUUUUUUAUUUUCUUUCAAUAAUGCGUUUAGAAGUUCUAAGAAAUGAUCUAAAGAUAUCGAAUAGAAGAUUUUAAAAAAAAAUCUAGAAAAUAACUAAUUCAAAAAGCAUAAAAUUGGUUAAAUAACUUUGGAAACCACUAAUAUUAUAACUAAGCUUUAUAAUAUUUUAGAGUUUUUAAAUAAAAUAAUUUUUUAAAAAAAAAUCCAGAUAAUAGGGUUUACCAUCUCACGCUACAUUGACCUUAUUUUUUUUAUUUAAAAAAAUUAAAUCAAUUUUUGUUUAUAAGUUUCGUUUUUUUCGAAAACUUUUUUUAGCCUAAAGUAAAUUGUGAAACACUUCAAAAUUUAAAAUUAAAAUGUAAGUUUGACUUAAAAACUUAAGCCUGACUUAAGAAACAAAGUUAAGUCGUUUAUUAAGCCAGGCCUUUUUUUAAGCCGAACCUUAGUUCCUUUAGGUCAUACUUUUAAGAUGAAUUCGGCCUCAAUUCAGCCUGAUCUUAUCUUGAAACCUUAAAAGCCUAACUUUAAAAAAAACUUAAGUCUAGUCUACAACAAAGGUCUUGCUUAAAAAUCUUAGGACUGAUUUUAAAAACUUAAACCUAGAUUGAAGAAAACUGUAGUUUAAAUUAAAGAAGUUUAUUCUGGUUUAGAAAAACUCAGAUCUAACUUAAGACGAUUUUUCUUUAUCUAAAAAAAUCGAAACUUUCUAAAUGACAGAGUCUAUUCAAUUUUUAAUUUUUUAGUAUUCUGGUUACUGCUUAAUAUAAAAGCAAAAAAAAAAUUAAAAUCGAUAUAAAAUUGAUAUAGUUCGUAAAAAUGUGAUUUUCAGAUUCAAUUCAAUCAUCUUUAACCCAUUAAAUAUCAAGUUAGGUUUUUCAGGUAAAAACUAAUUAAUUUCUACUCUAAAAAUUUACUUUGCUUGUUUCUGGCCUAAUCCCUUUUUAAUAAGACUUUAAUACUCCUUAUUCCACCAAAGUUAACAUUUGUUUGUGAAAAAAAGUAUAUAAAGAAAGCCUAUAGUUUUGCAGUUAACAGUUCAGUUCAGUCUGUUGGAUGAUCCACUAGCAUUAUCAAGCACCAUUCCGUGAAUUUUUGUGAGAUUGCACUGUUAUUUUGACGAUUUUGAAUCUAUUUAACUUUGUAAAAUAAUUUUUUGUUCAAUUUUAUUACUAAAAAUUGAAAAAUUUAAAUGAAAAAUUGAAUUUUUGAAUUAUUCAUCACCAACUUAAGAAUCUUCAAGGAUGUCAGGAAUUACAAUUACACCUAUCACGGAUAAGGAUAAAAAGGUUGUGAUGGCCCUUGGAAAAAGGAAAAUUCUGACUGAAAGUUUUUCAAAAGCAAAAGAAAUCUAUAACUCUAAUACUACUCAUACCACUGAACAACUCCGUGUAAUUGCGGAAACGUUGAAGAAUUUAAGAGAAGAUUAUCUUGUAAACCAAAAAUUACUUUUUGAAUUAGUUCCUGAUAAAGAAAACUUUCUAGAUGUUAUGAAAAAAGAUGCGAAUUUUCAAAUUAUGUUAUUCAGUAUGGAGCUUGAAAUAAAAUUGAAAUUGACAUAAUAAAGGAUUCUUAAUCUUA